UGCAGUCGAACGCUUCUUUUCCCACCGGAGCUUGCUCCACCGGGAAAAGAGGAGUGGCGAACGGGUGAGUAACACGUGGGUAACCUGCCCAUCAGAAGGGGAUAACACUUGGAAACAGGUGCUAAUACCGUAUAACAAUCGAAACCGCAUGGUUUCGUUUUGAAAGGCGCUUUACGGUGCCGCUGAUGGAUGGACCCGCGGUGCAUUAGCUAGUUGGUGAGGUAACGGCUCACCAAGGCCACGAUGCAUAGCCGACCUGAGAGGGUGAUCGGCCACAUUGGGACUGAGACACGGCCCAAACUCCUACGGGAGGCAGCAGUAGGGAAUCUUCGGCAAUGGACGAAAGUCUGACCGAGCAACGCCGCGUGAGUGAAGAAGGUUUUCGGAUCGUAAAACUCUGUUGUUAGAGAAGAACAAGGGUGAGAGUAACUGUUCACCCCUUGACGGUAUCUAACCAGAAAGCCACGGCUAACUACGUGCCAGCAGCCGCGGUAAUA
rnacentral:rRNA from 1 species